rnacentral:rRNA from 1 species
CCUACGGGAGGCAGCAGUAAGGAAUAUUGGUCAAUGGACGCAAGUCUGAACCAGCCAUGCCGCGUGCAGGAUGAAGGCCCUCUGGGUUGUAAACUGCUUUUAUAGGGGACGAAAAAGGGACUUUCUAGUUCAACUGACGGUACCCUAGGAAUAAGCACCGGCUAACUCCGUGCCAGCAGCCGCGGUAAUACGGAGGGUGCAAGCGUUAUCCGGAUUUACUGGGUUUAAAGGGUGCGUAGGUGGGUCGGUAAGUCAGCGGUGAAAUCUUCAAGCUUAACUUGGAAACUGCCAUUGAUACUAUCGAUCUUGAAUCAUCUGGAGGUAAGCGGAAUAUGUCAUGUAGCGGUGAAAUGCUUAGAUAUGACAUAGAACACCAAUUGCGAAGGCAGCUUACUACGGAUGUAUUGACACUGAGGCACGAAAGCGUGGGGAUCAAACAGGAUUAGAUACCCUGGUAGUCCACGCCCUAAACGAUGGAUACUCGACAUACGUGAUAUACUAUGUGUGUCUGAGCGAAAGCAUUAAGUAUCCCACCUGGGAAGUACGAUCGCAAGAUUGAAACUCAAAAGAGUAGUGGACGUGAGAGAGCGACGACGGACGACGAGGAGGGAGGAG